rnacentral:rRNA from 1 species
UACGGAGGGUGCAAGCGUUAUCCGGAUUCACUGGGCGUAAAGGGUGCGUAGGUGGUGAGGUAAGUCGGAUGUGAAAUCUCGGAGCUCAACUCCGAAAUGGCAUUGGAAACUACCUCGCUCGAGGAUUGGAGGGGGGACUGGAAUACUUGGUGUAGCAGUGAAAUGCGUAGAUAUCAAGUGGAACACCAGUGGCGAAGGCGAGUCCCUGGACAAUUCCUGACACUGAGGCACGAAAGCUAGGGGAGCAAACAGG